rnacentral:rRNA from 1 species
AUCCCAGACUCCUACGGGAGGCAGCAGUGGGGAAUAUUGCACAAUGGGGGAAACCCUGAUGCAGCGACGCCGCGUGAGUGAAGAAGUAAUUCGUUAUGUAAAGCUCUAUCAGCAGGGAAGAAAAUGACGGUACCUGACUAAGAAGCCCCGGCUAACUACGUGCCAGCAGCCGCGGUAAUACGUAGGGGGCAAGCGUUAUCCGGAUUUACUGGGUGUAAAGGGAGCGUAGACGGCAUGGCAAGUCAGAUGUGAAAGCCCGGGGCUCAACCCCGGGACUGCAUUUGAAACUGUCAGGCUGGAGUGCAGGAGAGGUAAGUGGAAUUCCUAGUGUAGCGGUGAAAUGCGUAGAUAUUAGGAGGAACACCGGUGGCGAAGGCGGCCUGCUGGACUGUAACUGACGUUGAGGCUCGAAAGCGUGGGGAGCAAACAGGAUUAGAUACCCUAGUA